rnacentral:lncRNA from 1 species
GCAGCCAGGCACCUUUCUAAAUGAUAUUACUGCAUUUAUGCAUUAUGCAUUCAUAAUCUUCGGUGGUCCUAUGAGAUGGGUAUUUUGUCAUCCCCAUUUUACAGAGGAAGAAUCUGAGGCACAGAGAAGUUAAGUAACUUGUCUGAAGUUUCAUGGCUCAGACGUGACAAGCAUAGCUGGGGGUACAGCAGACAGCCUGGUCUGGGAAUCCUGCUGCUAACUAACUAGCCAGCUCUAAGGCCUUUCUGUGAAAUAGAGAUAAUGUAACUGAACACAAAGCUGUGGAGAGGCUAGAUCAGGAGCAAGCAUUUGGCACACAGUAGGUCCUCAGUACCUUUGUGUCUACUGCAAGGCAGUAGAAGGGGAGUCGCUUUGUAACAUCACCAGGAAGCUCAGAGGGGGGACAGAUCAGUUCUUUCUUAAAUUAGUUAUUUUUGCUUUUGGGGGCCACACCCGCAGCAUAUGGAAGUUCCCAGGCUAGGGGUUGAAUCGGAGCUGUAGCUGCUGGCCUAUGCCAGAGGCACAGCAACGCAGGAUCCGAGCCGCGUCUGCAACCUACACCACAGCUUAUGGCAACGCCGGAUCAUUAACCCACUGAGCAAGGGCAGGGACCGAACCCGCAACCUCAUGGUUCCUAGUCGGAUUCGUUAACCACUGCGCCACGACGGGAACUCCUGAGCUUCCCUUUCUGCAUCUAUUAAAUGGGGUUGGUAGCCUCCGCUCCCAAAGAGUUAUCUACUAACAUCUAUAAAGUUGUUUUGCAAACUGUGGGAUUAUAAACAAAUCUAAGGUGUUAUGUCUCUUUGCAAAGCCAGGUGGAAGUAUGGAAACCAGAAAGUAGACUCAUCCUUGGAAUCUCAUCCACUGGCUGGGAGAGCGCCUGUCCAGUGUGGCGGAGGCUAUCCAGCCACGCUGCCCCCUCUGGAGUUGGCACUCAGAGGUCCUCAGUGCUAGGCGUGAUGCUGGCUUAUGUAGCAUUGAGCAUCCUGUCAUCAAAUCUCAGCUCCAUCUGCUUGGCCUGAUCCAAAGUGAGUGAUAAUCCCCUUAUUAAGACAUGUCUCAUUAAGACAUCUGUUAAGAUGGAGCCAGCAAACAGCCUGGUAGACGGGAGGCUUCUGCGUGGGAAAGCGUCCCCUCCCCCUCCCCCAUUCAUUAAUAAUUAUGGGAGGUUUUAUUCCCCCCAACAAAAGUGUUAAUUAGACAUCGUUCUGAACAGGGAUAUUACGCAAAUGAAUUAAACUCAAACCAAUCAACAAGCCAGCUCUGUGCUUCAGGACCCCUGAAUGAGAAGGGAAUUGAAGGCAGUAAUGGGAAGCAAACGGUAGGAUGUCUUCCCUAAUAGAGAAUAAUAAGUAGGAAGGUCCCCUUCAGUUCUAGCACCACUUCUUUGAUGACAGAUACCUUUGUCCUCCUGCCUCCCGUGCCUUCAUAUUCCCUUCUCUUUGUUCCUUCCUUCUCUGUCGCAUGCACACACACACACACCCCCGCCACCAUACUCACAUCUGUCCGUGAGGCUUUGGGGAGUUAGGAUUCCCUUCUUAUUACAGAAGCUGGCCUGGACUCUCUCCCUUGGGCCUUGAUACUUGCUGGGUUUCCUGGUCUUUAGGCUUGGAGCCUGGGCAGGGAUGCAAAAAGACUCUACCUAAUCUAAAGACCCCAAUUCCAAUCCUUUUCUGUCACUCAUCAUGUUUCAUUGUGGAUGAGUCAUUGAGUCUUUUAGAGCUAUUAGUUUUCUCGUCAGAAGAUAUAAUAUAUAAUACUUGAGUCCCAUGGGUGCGCAGUAGGUACUCAAUAGAUGUCUGUUGAGUCUAAAUGGCUGCGCAACAUCUGGAAACACUUUGUGGCCAGGCAGUGAAUUCCUGGUUAUGGAUCGCCCCCUAUAGGCAGACAGGAAAGAACCAGAGGGGGAAGCGUCCCAUUUUGAGGGCUCCCGUUUGAUUGGAGGAGAGAUUACAGAAGCCUGAAAGUCUUUAAAACAAGCAAAUGAGAACAAGAUGGUAAACCCAGGCAUUAAAUAUUUGGCUUGUGAUGGGAGCUGGGGGAUGGGGGGGGGUCCUCUGGGGAGACUAAAGCAGGAAGGAGAAGUCAGGGUAUCGGGGGAGGUUUUUCUUGCCAUGGAAAGGAAACCACUUACACAGAGCCCUGGAGAUGCUGGUGAGGCUGGGUCCGUGUGGCUGGAGCAGGAAAUGUGGACCAGGAGUGGGGAGAGGAGGGAGGAGGUUGGUGUAGCUGGGGGGCUCGUUGUGGGGGCUCUCUUGAGGCACCCUGACUUUCCCCUAGCACCUCAGUGUCUGAGACACAGUAGGUGAUGGAAUGAAUGUAUGAAGGUGGAUUUGAUGUGAUGGACUGAUAAAGAAUGGGGACCCCACCCAUUGCCUCUGGGAUUAGUAGGAGUCAGAAGGGUAUCCAAAGACAGAAUUUAAAAAUUAUUUUCCUAAGGAAUGAGAUGCAGAGGGAGGAGUGUGGAAAAGGAAGUCUAUUCAAAACCUGCCCAGCAUGUUUGAGGAGAGAUGCGUUCUGGACUUUUUUUUUUUUUUUUUUUGAUCUUUUUGUCUUCUUAGGGCCAUACUUGUGGCAUAUGGAGGUUCCCAGGCUAGGGGUCCAAUUGGAGCUGUAGCCAUUGGCCUACGCCAGGGCCGCAGUAACGUGAGUCUGAGCUGUGUCUGUGACCUACACCACAACUCAGGGCAAUGCCGGAUCCUUAACCUGCUGAGCAAGGCCAGGGAUCGAACCCAUGUCCUCGUGGAUGCUAGUCAGGUUCACUAACUGCUGAGCCACGACGGGAACUCCUGGACAUCUCUUUCUUAAACUCUGGAUCUGUCUGCCCUAGAAAAGUAAGGACCCCACCCCCACCCCCCACCAUGCACCCUUUCCCUAGUUGUUCCCAAUCUCUUUACAGAUUGUCUGACCCAAGAAUGGGGGUGGGGGUCCUACUCCCUUCUGAGUACCCCCAUCACUACCCCUGGGCGCCCCUUUAUAGGAAACGUCAUGGCUUUCCCUGAGGGGCUGCCUUCCCCCUCACAGGCCACCUCUCAGUGCCAAGCCAGACGGUGAGCUUCUCGGUCUCGUUACUCCACAGUCCCUCGCUUUGCAGCUCAUUUUAUUGCUGGUUCCCACCCCCGCCCCCCAUCGGAAAGUUGAUGACUGUCCCAAAGCCUACUGUUGCAGAACAAGUCCAUUUUCUCUUGUUUGGCCUGUGGCAAAUGGUCACUGGGCACCUGGAGCUAACACUCCAGAGCCAGAACAUGAAGUUUUUCUUCAUCCUACUCCUCUCUGAUUCUAGGACCUCAGAUUCCCAUAGAUUCUCCUCUCCCAGUUUCCAUUCUGUUUCAUAGCCAAGUGCUGGACCUUCUUCAUGUCCCUGAAAACCCAGGCUCUCAGGGGAUCCGGAGCAACACCUAAACGAGAAGGGAGCCAUCGUCAAAUCUCUGUUAUCUAGUUUCCUGGGUGUUUUACUUUGUGGCGUGUGCGUGUUACAUGUGUGUAAGUCUCAGGCAUGAGAUGUUAUGCUCCUCCUUUGUGAUUUAGUGAAAAGAGUGUAUGUACUGGGAGUCAGGAGGUGUGGGUGCAAGUUCAUGGUCUCCUCUUACUGGGUGUAAGACCUUGGGGUGUCACCUCUCUGAGCUUCAGCUUCCUAGAGCUGCGUUUUUGUGGUUCAAAAAGUAAAAUGAAAUGAUGUGUGACCUUAUAAAAUUGUUCAUCAAAUGGAAGGGAUUUUUAUCUCUUGCUAAUUUUAUGUUAGUCCUGUUGUCCAUUAUGGAGUCAGUAGGGGUUCAAGGACAGGAGGCCUUUAUGGAUAAUCCACAAGUUGGGUGGCUAGAGUAGGCAUAUUUGAGAUAAUGUGGGGCUAUCCAGUUAUUACUGCAAAUCCCCCAUUUGUUUCUCAUCCCACUAGAUGUAAGUGAGUGUUAGUGUUUCAUUGAAGAAAUUUGAGGCAUGCUAGGGAAAGCCGUCAUUAGAUUGUCUAGUCUGUGUUUUCAACCUACUAACCAUUUAUAUGGAACUGUGUGUGUGUGUUUGUAUUUAUUUUUGCCCCUGUUUUUGUUACAUCCUUUUCUUCCACCUCUUUUGAUUGGUGUCCUCACAUCUUGGAAUCUGAGAAUUGAAGUGGGACUGGUGGGAGCCACUCCCGCUGCCUCCUGGCGAUGUGGCUGUUCAGGCGCUCUCCCUACCUCUCGUCAGGGAUCAAUUACUUACCAUCCGUCAGUUUCUUUCUUCUUUUGGAAGAAAACCUGUUUAGAACAGCCCCCUUGGGACUGGGGCCCCGGGCAGUGAGUGUCACAGUGGAGCGAGGUCCAGAUGCUGUGUUGCUGAUGUACAGUUGUGGCUGCACUUACAGAUGCUGACAGCAAGGACUGCAGAUUUCCACCCCCAGCUCUGGCAUCCCCCAUCCAUCAGUGGAGGGUCAAGGGUACCAGGAGGGAGACCAGAAGACCCUGUCCUUCACACCAGGAGGGUAGAUGCAGAGGAAGGAGGGAAAUCGGGGGGAGAGAAUUAAUGUGUAACAAUGACUUACUCUGCACUAGACACUCUGCUAAAUGCAUAUUCUACGUGUUGUUGACCCAUUUCAUCUAAUUGUCAUGGAGUCUUGUUAAAUAGGAGCUACUAACACCAUUUUCUGGGUGAAGUCUAGAGGCCCAAAUGGGUGACAGUGGGGCUGGGAUUCAAACAAGAUCUGUCUGACCCCAGAGUCCUAGCUCUUGUGACCCGUCCACAAUCUAGCUCUUAGAGCCUCGGAGAACCAUUCUGAUGAUGAAGACAGGCCAUGCCCCUGCUAGAUGGAGACUGAGUGGCUGAUACCCAUCACUGGAUGUUUGGGUGACUUUGGCCACAGUCCAUAGCAGUAGUGCCAAUAAUUUGGAGGAACAUGCCUUUAUCCCUUAAAAAGACAUUUAUUUGCUGAUCCAAAAUCCUAGGAAUCUACAGAGUCCUACAGAAUCAUGAAGAUCCAAGGAGAUCUGCUGUUUCCAGGAGGUAGAUUUAUGCAUUGACAGAGGUAUUGUCAGCCUGCAAUUCCAAACAAUUUCAGGGACUCAAGGUAUGGAGAGAUACUUCCUGAAAACCAACAAUGAAAACCUAGGAAUAUUGGGAGAAUCCAAAAGUGCUGUGGGUUUUGUUUGUUUGUUUUUUCUUUUUUGGCCACCCCACAGCACGUGGAGUUCUCAGGGCCAGGGAUCAAAUAUGAGACUCAGUUGCAACCCAAGCUGCAGCCUCGGCAACGCCAGAUCCUCCACCCACUCUCCUGGGCCGGGGAUCGAACCUUCGUCCCAGUGCUCUCAAGAUGGCGCUGAUCCCGUUGUGCCACAGUGGGAACUCCUGGUGUGUGUGUGUGUGUGUGUGUGUGUGUGUGUAUGUGUAAUAGAGAAGGAACCUUGGAGCCUUGACAUUGAAGGACAAAGGGCAUGCAUAACUUAGCCGGCAAUGCAAAGGGCACCCCCUGGGUCACAGAAACAGAGUGUGAAAUUUCAAAAUGUUUCUGUAUUCAUUUGUGAAUCAUUGUUGCAGACUUAUUUUCUGGUGUGACUCACUAAGACAGAUACUGUGUUAACUUGCAGUGCAGAGUAUACAUGUCAGCUGGAGGCGUUUGGGUCAAUGGCAGAUCAUUUAGAAGGUUUAGGGAGCCAUAUCAGGAUGAGAAAUGCACAGCUCCCUUGCAGACUGGGGCACGAUGGGACAUGCUUCAUGCUCAGGUAACAAGGCCAUCUGAUGGGGAACCUGUACUUACACAUAGUGAAGGCGUGUAAUAGUGUGUUAGGGUUGCCGUAACAAAAUACCACAGACGAGCUGGCUCAAACAACAGAAAGUUGUCUUCUCCCAGUUGUGGUGGCUGGGAGUCCAAGAUCAAGCUGUUGGCAGCAUGGUCCUUCCUCUAUGGGCACACAUCCCUGGCAUAUCUUUUGCGUGUCCAGAUUUCCUCUUCUCACAGGGACACGCAUCAGGCUGAUUAGAGCCCACCUACAUGGCCUCGUUUGAACUUAAUACCUCUUUAAAGGCCCAAUCAGGAGUUCCCCUUGUGGCGCAUCAGAAAUGAUUCCUACUAGUAUCCAUGAGGAUGCACGUGCAAUCCUGGGCCUCACGCAGUGGGUCAGGGAUCCAGCAUUGCCGUGAACUAUGGUGUAAAUUGCAGAUGCGACUCGGAUCUGGUGUUGCUGUGGCUGUGGUGUAGGCCCACAGCUGUAGCUCCAAUUUGCCCGCUAGCCUGGGAACUUCCAUGUGCCACAGGUUUGGCCCUAAAAAGACCAAAAAAAAAAAAAAA